rnacentral:lncRNA from 1 species
UACAUUAUCUUUAUUAAAAGACAAGCAAAGCUUACACCGUGUUGUGUACCAAUGAUGGGAAUAAACAUAGGCUAACCCAACAGUCAUGCAACAUUAUUUUUUCUUCUCCCAGACGAUAAUAAGAAUUAAAAGUUAUAACAGUUAUCUCAGAUGAUCGAUUAUCGUUUUUAUUUUAUUUAAACGAUGUUGUUGAGUAGAUUAGACUUUUUUAAUUACGAUAUUUCUUUCGUUCCAAUGUCUUUAAAUGACAAGUUCGUGUUAGAUAUUAAAGGAGAAAGAAUAUUGUUCUCAAACAAAUGUUCAUCAAAUAUAAUUCAAAUGAAUUAUAAACGAUUUUAAACAAUACGAUUAUAGACCUUCAAUCAUCGAUUACGGUAUUUUUAUUCGAUUCAUACUGUCCUGAAUAAUAAAUAGAGAAGGAUUAAGAGGGGUUACCAUGGUGCCCCCCUCAUUUUGUGGGAAGUUUUGAUUGACUAUAUAUGGGAAUCGCUGAAAGAUGACUGGAGCUGGCCUCUUCUUAGACAGUCGAUGGCCACUCACGUGUGAAAAUAUCUGGAUCCGCCACUGAAACCACAGAGAAAACACCCUUGUUUAAAGAAACUAGUUUAUUGACAUAUGUAUGACUAUAUUUUAUAUAUGAAUAAUACAUAGUAUUACACAAAAAGUAUUUAUAAGAUUUAACAGGUAAAGAAACGGUACUAGCAUAGAUUUCUAAGCACAUCAAAUUAUCAUUUUAAAAUGGCAUCACAGAUUGCUUUGAACUUUAAAUAGUUCAUAUAAACAAACAACAAAGAAAAGAGAGGCUCAUAUAAAGGUCCUUUUAUUUGGUGGUAUGACACCUAUACGAGACCGGAUACAUGAACGUUCACAUACUUUAUUUUUCCAAUCCACACAUAAUCUACAUUCACAGUGCAUAAAGCAUAUUUUACUAAACAGUAUCAUGGCA